rnacentral:rRNA from 1 species
GAUGAACGCUGGCGGCGUGCCUAAUACAUGCAAGUCGAACGAAACUUCUUUAUCACCGAGUGCUUGCACUCACCGAUAAAGAGUUGAGUGUCGAACGGGUGAGUAACACGUGGGCAACCUGCCCAAAAGAGGGGGAUAACACUUGGAAACAGGUGCUAAUACCGCAUAACCAUAGUUACCGCAUGGUAACUAUGUAAAAGGUGGCUAUACUACCGCUUUUGGAUGGGCCCGCGGCGCAUUAGCUAGUUGGUAGGGUAAAGGCUUACCAAGGCAAUGAUGCGUAGCCGAAUUGAGAGGUUGAUCGGCCACAUUGGGACUGAGACACGGCCCAAACUCCUAAGGGAGGCAGCAGUAGGGAAUCUUCCACAAUGGGCGAAAGCCUGAUGGAGCAACGCCGCGUGGGUGAAGAAGGUCUUCGGAUCGUAAAACCCUGUUGUUAGAGAAGAAAGUGCGUGAGAGUAACUGUUCACGUUUCGACGGUAUCUAACCAGAAAGCCACGGCUAACUACGUG